AGUCUUAUAGUCAUAAAAUGAUUUUAAAUUGCAAAUUUAAAGGUAAAUAUGUUUAUAUUUUAAGGCUU
rnacentral:tRNA from 1 species